UUUGAGUUGGUAGGUAUGGACCUUCUCAAACUGACUAUAACAGAGGGUGGUAAUCAAUACAUUUGUGUAAUGGUUGAUUAUUUCACAAAGUGGGCAGAGGCCUACCCUCUGAAGAGUAAGUCUGCAGAGGAGGUCACCAGUUGUAUUCUUGAUUUUGUAUACAAAUUUGGUGCACCUCAGAGACUGCUUACAGACCAAGGGACAGAAUUCAAAAAUCAGGUGAAUGCCAGACUCUGUCAGGCCCUUGGCAUUCAGCGAUGGUUUUGUGCACCAUAUCACCUGCAGACUAAUGGGUUGGUGGAGAAACUGAGUGGCACCAUCCAGAGGUCUCUCAACAAACUGGGGAGGAAACCCCCCCCAAAAUGGGACAAAUACGUACAGGCAACAAU